CCCCUCUCAGGAUGGCACCUGGAGAGUUUCCAGUACUCUACCAGUCUUGGCUAUGGGAGGGAGAGUCAAGCAGAUUCCAUUCCAUUCCUAGCUCGGGCAGGGGCUAGCCAGUGGAAGGCAAUCUGCUGCGUGU